rnacentral:rRNA from 1 species
UCCUGGCUUAGGAUGAACGCUAGCGACAGGCUUAACACAUGCAAGCGAGGGCAGCAUAGAAGUAGCAAUACUUGGUGGCGACCGGCGCACGGGUGAGUAACGCGUAUGCAACCUACUAUCAGAGGGAACUAACCCGGCGAAAGUCGGACUAAUACCGCAUAAAACAGGGGCACCGCAUGGUGAUAUUUGUUAAGAAAUUCGCUGAUAGAUGGGCAUGCGUUCCAUUAGGUAGUUGGUGAGGUAACGGCUCACCAAGCCGACGAUGGAUAGGGGAACUGAGAGGUUGGUCCCCCACACUGGUACUGAGACACGGACCAGACUCCUACGGGAGGCAGCAGUGAGGAAUAUUGGUCAAUGGGCGGGAGCCUGAACCAGCCAAGUCGCCGUGAAGGAAGAAGGAUCUAUGGUUCGUAAACUUCUUUUGCAGGGGAAUAAAGUGCAGGACGUGUCCUGUUUUGUAUGUACCCUGAGAAUAAGGAUCGGCUAACUCCGUGCCAGCCGCCGC